GCAUGUGCACUGGAUCUGCAUGGCUUUCUCCGGCAGCAACCGGCACUCGUGUGAGGAACGCAUAUGUGCCCCGACUGUCACAACCGUCAAACUCAAAGCUGUGCCUGCCCUCGUGGGCUUUCGCAAGACGAUUUUGAAGGGUCUGGGGAUAUACAUACAAGAAGCAAGCAGCAAACGAGAGACUGGAAUGGAAGCCGCAAACAAGAAAGUUGCUGCAGCCUAUAUAGGGCACCCGUGAUGAAAAUGGCUGCCCAGGACAACAUAUCUUUGUGUUGAAGCCGGUCUACGCAUAUUUUCAUGAAGACUUUGAGGUCUGCACCUCGUUCCACACUGUAAGUUGUCAUGCACCAUCUUGAUUCUGAGAGUUCUUCUGUGAUAAUAUGAUCAUUGACAUAUUUCUUGGUGACACACAUGAAAAAGAAAAUAUCAAAGAUCAAUGUAGUAUGAUGGACACCUGAAGGUUGUGUCAGUGCAGGGUGUAUGAACUUUAAUUCAGAUACGCAGUUCUAAAGGCAGCAACUAGGCAAUCACAGGCGAUUUUCUCCAUAGUGUCUGUUUUCUGUCUGUCAGUGAUAUAGCAAAAUGCAGACAAAAAUUUUGUAAGAAGUAAUGAGUGCACAAUGAUUUUUCAUGUUUAUGUUUUUAUGAUAUAUUUAGUGUCUGUUUAAUGUUGCAUAUUUUCUUGUGUCUGAUGGCUAUUAUAUGGCUGUUCAAUUCUUUCUAAUACUGAGUGAGGUAUACAAUUAGCACAGAGCGGGCCAACAGCUGGGGAGUGUGCACCCCCAACACCACGUCUCUGCUAUUGGUAUGAAUGCUUCCAUUUCCUGGAUGUCUUCUUUGUCUGCUAUUGGCACCUCGCUGUGGUCAUUUCUUCUUCUUUAUGUAACACAUAUUUCUGUUUUGUGCAACUGAAAGAAAGUAUGCUGUCAGAAAACAAAAGUCUGUGCUGCAGCUGCAACAUGGGCUCUCAAAGCAUUUGCAGCCACUCCAAUAGAUUUAUAGCACAUCUCUCUCUCAUAGGGUCAUCACUGCUACACUUCUCAAGCAUUGUUCUUGCCUUGCACAAUGACAAAAUGCUAACUGCAAGGAGCGUGGAGAAACCAUUGGCGCUACAGCUCGGAGUGUAUUUCAACGACGAUGUGCGGUACCUGCCACCAAUGUUUCUUAUGUUAGAAUUCAUACAAUGGUAUGAAUUCUCAUACAAUUAUUACAACAACAAUUAUUCAUACAAUUAUAUCUCAAUUAUAUUACUUAACUUAUUACUUUUAUUACUUAAUUAUUAUAAAUUAUUAUUAUAAUACAAUUAUUCAUAAAAUGGUAUGAAUUCUCAUGUAUUACACUCAUCGUAUCAUAAAUCGUUAGCACAUAGUCAACAACUACUCUGCUGUAUUCGUGCUUGUAUUGUUCAUAGUUACCGUGGGGUGACAAUAAGUUUUGCGGCCAUGUGUUUCAAAUGUUUCUUUUUUCUGUCCUUAUAUUCCUUGGUUUUACAGAUACUGAAAAACCUACUGCUGCUCUAGGCAACCUGGAGUUAUUGGGCAACUGGGUUAUCAUACAUUCACUUAUGGACAGCUAGGUUUGCAAAUUUUAUUGUGCCAGUUCUGGUGGCAGAAGAAAACUAGCAGCCUCAUCUAAUUCAUGAACAGAUGGCCGACCUGCCCAUGGAGCUGGGAAGGCAGUCAAGCACCUGACAUGCUGUUUUGAAGACAUCAGCCCUGAAAGAGGAACAAGGCACCCCCAAUGGUAAACAAGAUUACGUGGCAUGCCUGUUUGCGUUCUGUCACUCCUCUGCAAACUGAUAUAAAGCUGAAAGAUAGGUAUCCCUUUAGCCCUUUCGUAGUCUGCAUUUUGGUACUGAUUAUUUCUAUUUGGUCCACAUUUCCCAAAAUUUCAUACUCUUAACCAUGUACCAUUGUGCUUUUGAGUCCCUAUUUGUGAGUCUUGAUAUUGUCCCUUGCAUCUUCUUCCACAUGUGUUAGUUAGGAUAAGCUGACUACUACAGGGUUAGGCACAACAGACAUACUUCCGUGCUUUCAAGCAACUUUGUCUACGUAUGUACAUUGUGCUGUUUCA